rnacentral:lncRNA from 1 species
AGAAGUCUUUCAAAAUCUUUUACAGCUUUUGUUUGUUACCGGUGAAUAGCUUCUUGAGCAUAUAUAUACUUUGAGGUUAGAAAUUAAUUCCUUGAACGUAGUAUUUCCUUCUUCUGUGAUAAAAACAACUACAAUUAUUCUUGAUUUUUGGCCAUGAAAGCAGCAGCAGCACACCUUCCAUCAAACACUUGCCCCAAAUCCAGAAAUAGAUAGCAAAAUAGGUUUAAAGCUUCUUUGAGGAAAUUUGUCAAGCAGUUGGUGUGUACAGCUGAAAGUCCUUUAUGUGAGACUCCCCCAAACUUGUUUCAGUCCAUAGUUUGAAGCUUUUUAUCCACAAUCAUAUCCCGAUCCAAUUUGAACACAAAGUUAUAACAACCAACCCCCAAUUGAGCCAACAUAAACUCAAUUGGGAAACUAAUUCAAUUAUCCCAAACUCCCCAAUACUUGAUUGCUAAUUCAAUCCAUUACAUGAAAUUCCAUGUAUAAAAUUAUAACUUGUCAAAACUUACUUGGAUUCUAUGUUUAGAAUAAGAACCAAUUAAAAAGAUGAUGACUUAGGCCAAUUGAUUGAACCCCCAAUGAACGUCGAUGGUUGCCUUGGUUUAAAACUUUGUUGUUGGAAUCCAAGUAAGAGAUGGAGAGGUCGGGUUAUGCUGUAUUCUUUCUUCGUUGUUGUUUGGAAUAGAUGAAUGAGAGUGCGAUUAUGAGAGUUGAAGGAGAAUUAUUCGACUGAAGGUUUUUGGGUUGGAAAUGAAUUAGAACUAAUACAGCAUGCCUUGAUUUGGGGAGAUACAUCAAAGGGUAGUGGGUGAGAAGUAGAGGCAGAGGAUGCAAUUUGACAUAAAUAUAAUCUACUAAAAAC